GGAUCAGAUUAGCAGCUGGGGCACCGGUUCAGCGGCACGCGCAUCCUGAAGGUAGUGCGUGGAAUUCUCCAGAUCCCCUGGACGUGGGAGGCCCAUGUGGAGAAGCUGGAGACUCUAGAGGUCCUGGAUUCUGGCUCCUGGCACACAGCCUCCAAGCCUAACCCCCCUGUGCCAGCUGGAACAGGAUCAAGCAGGCUCAGGUGUCUGCUGCACAUGCUACUUUUCUGGGACUGCCUAGGAACUGUGUGCUCUUCCUGUCCUCCCCAGGGUGUACCUCAUUCCAGUGCGGGGGCUCUGGACAGCCCAGGUUGGUGGCAUCCCCACCCUGGUACUCACACAGGUGGUGCUCUUCAAAGUGAUGUCAUUAGAAAAGACAUUUCUGCCAUUGUUCAGGCUGGCUUCAACAAAGACCUCCCUAAAGCACAGAAAGCGAAGAUGGUGACAGCCAGCCCAGGGAGAUGCAGUUCUUGCCCUCGAGUCCGUUGGCUUAACUCUGAAAGGUGACCUGGAGCAACGGUACCAUUCCUCGGGCAAUCAUCUCCGGCAUCUUGCCCUCCUCACAGACCCUAGGACACUGCAGAUCUCUAGGACACUGCAGAUCCCUAGGACACUGCGGAUCCCUGAACACCUUGGGGGCCACCAACAAGGGAGGUGAGCACUGUGUCCUUAGACCAGCCGCAGACACGUGCUGCCCCAGCAGGGGGGCAUCCACAUUCUGUACACCUCACGGUGCCCAACCGUGACCCUUGGCCUCCUGCCCUCUAGGGCCUCCUGCCAGAGAUUCUUACUGUCCAGGUUGUUUUUAAUCUUUGGUCCAGGGCAAGUCAUGAAAGUCUUGUCCAUACUGAUUUUUUUUUUUUUUUCUAAAAGGAAAUGACGUGGGAAGAAUGUCGAUGCACAUGUUCGUCCACUGUCCCUCCCACCUCCGGUCCUCAUCACACAGAGCUGACCCCGUGGUCCACGACCGGCAUCUGGGCUCUGCUUUCCUAUUGCAGAGACCCCUAUGAGCACCCGCCACACCCAGGCCCUGUGCAGCGCUCUGCUGUGUAACAGGAACAGGCAGGCAGAGUCCCUGCUCUCAAGAACUCACCUUUAAGGACUGCGUGGGAGACAGACAACAAAAUUAAAAAUAGAGAACAAAAUAGAUGGCAGAGUGUGAUGUGCUGUGAUGUCCAUGAGCAGAGGGAAGGAGAGGCAUGGAGGGGAAGGGACAGCCACUUCGUCACAGGCGACCAGAAGCAUUCGUGUGAUGCUCCACAGUUUCUUCAAUCCCAUUUCAUUUUCUUUUUCUUCCGUCAUAUUUAAGCAAAAUUAAAUUUAUUAUGCUGUAGUUGAAAAUGUUAAUAGCACUUGUCUUUGGGUUUGGGAUUUGGG
rnacentral:lncRNA from 1 species